CAGCCGCCGCGGUAAUACGAAGGGGGCUAGCGUUGUUCGGAAUUACUGGGCGUAAAGCGCACGUAGGCGGAUAUUUAAGUCAGGGGUGAAAUCCCAGAGCUCAACUCUGGAACUGCCUUUGAUACUGGGUAUCUUGAGUAUGGAAGAGGUGAGUGGAAUUUCGAGUGCAGAGGUGAAAUUCGUAGAUAUUCGGAGGAACACCAGUGGCGAAGGCGGCUCACUGGUCCAUUACUGACGCUGAGGUGCGAAAGCGUGGGGAGCAAACAGGAUUAGAUACCCGUGUAGUCCCUGUCUCUUAUAC
rnacentral:rRNA from 1 species